UGACCCUACGGGGGGCAGCAGUGGGGAAUAUUGCGCAAUGGGGGCAACCCUGACGCAGCAACGCCGCGUGCAGGAAGAAGGUCUUCGGAUUGUAAACUGUUGUCGCAAGGGAAGAAGACAGUGACGGUACCUUGUGAGAAAGUCACGGCUAACUACGUGCCAGCAGCCGCGGUAAUACGUAGGUGGCAAGCGUUAUCCGGAUUUACUGGGUGUAAAGGGCGUGUAGGCGGGACUGCAAGUCAGAUGUGAAAACCACGGGCUCAACCUGUGGCCUGCAUUUGAAACUGUAGUUCUUGAGUACUGGG
rnacentral:rRNA from 1 species